GAUGAACGCUGGCGGCGUGCCUAAUACAUGCAAGUCGAACGAAGAUCUAGCUUGCUAGAUCUUAGUGGCGAACGGGUGAGUAAUACAUAAAUAAUCUGCCCAUAUGACUGGGAUAACUAUUGGAAACGAUAGCUAAUACCGGAUAGGUUGAUCGGAGGCAGCCCUGAUGAAUUAAAGUAGGAUUUCUACACAAAUGGAUGAGUUUAUGGCGCAUUAGUUCGUUGGUGGGGUAACGGCCUACCAAGACGAUGAUGCGUAGCCGACCUGAGAGGGUGACCGGCCACACUGGGACUGAGACACGGCCCAGACGCCUACGGGAGGCAGCAGUAGGGAAUUUUCGGCAAUGGGCGCAAGCCUGACCGAGCAACGCCGCGUGAGUGAUUAAGGCCUUCGGGUUGUAAAGCUCUGUUGUAAGGGAAGAACAUUCAGGAUAGGAAAUGAUCUUGAACUGACGGUACCUUACCAGAAAGCCACGGCUAACUACGUGCCAGCAGCCGCCGCAG
rnacentral:rRNA from 1 species